GACGAACGCUGGCGGCGUGCCUAAUACAUGCAAGUCGAGCGGAAUGAGGAGAGCUUGCUCUCCGAGUUUAGCGGCGGACGGGUGAGUAACACGUGGGCAACCUGCCUGUAAGACUGGGAUAACUCCGGGAAACCGGAGCUAAUACCGGAUACAACUUUUCCUUGCAUGAGGGGAAGGGGAAAGACUGAGAGUCGCUUACAGAUGGGCCCGCGGCGCAUUAGCUAGUUGGUGGGGUAACGGCCUACCAAGGCGACGAUGCGUAGCCGACCUGAGAGGGUGAUCGGCCACACUGGGACUGAGACACGGCCCAGACUCCUACGGGAGGCAGCAGUAGGGAAUCUUCGGCAAUGGACGGAAGUCUGACCGAGCAACGCCGCGUGAGCGAAGAAGGCCUUCGGGUUGUAAAGCUCUGUCAUGAGGGAAGAACGGCUCGGGUGGCCCCGAGUAUGACGGUACCUCAGGAGGAAGCCCCGGCUAACUUCGUGCCAGCAGCCGCCGUAAAAC
rnacentral:rRNA from 1 species